rnacentral:rRNA from 1 species
UACGUAGGGUGCGAGCGUUAAUCGGAAUUACUGGGCGUAAAGCGUGCGCAGGCGGUUUUAUAAGCCAGAUGUGAAAUCCCCGGGCUUAACCUGGGAAUGGCAUUUGGGACUGCAAGGCUGGAGUUUGGCAGAGGAGACUGGAAUUCCUGGUGUAGCAGUGAAAUGCGUAGAUAUCAGGAGGAACACCGAUGGCGAAGGCAGGUCUCUGGGCUGAAACUGACGCUCAUGCACGAAAGCGUGGGGAGCGAACAGG